rnacentral:rRNA from 1 species
UACGAAGGGGGCUAGCGUUGUUCGGAAUCACUGGGCGUAAAGGGCGCGUAGGCGGCUUUGUAAGUCGGGGGUGAAAACCCGCGGCUCAACCGCGGGCCUGCAGCCGAUACUGCCAUAGCUAGAGUCCGGUAGGGGAGCGUGGAAUUUCUGGUGUAGCGGUGAAAUGCGCAGAUAUCAGAAGGAACACCAGUGGCGAAGGCGGCUCACUGGCCCGGUACUGACGCUGAGGCGCGAAAGCGUGGGGGAGCAAACAGG